UAUAAAAAAAUUUACAAUAUAAGAAAGGACCGUAAAGCAUGGACAUAGACAUGAUCCUGCAUGACUCAAAAUUUGAGAGAAAAACACAGUCUAAAAAAUCAGGGAACACGACACCAUUAGUACUAUAUAAUUUAUGUUUUUGUUUAAUUUAAUGUAUAGCUCGAAAUUGAUAUUUAUAAAAUGACAAAUAAUGAAAAACAUAUUUCAUCCUAGCAAUGUUAUCAGAUGGUAUAAAACCUUGCCACGGAGAAAAACCUGGUAUUUAAGUGGAGAAGGGUAGAGAGAUGAGCCCAUUGCUCUCUAAGUUUCAAAACGUGCGCUAGUGCCCCUCGUGGAUUUCUCGGUUAUCAAAAAAAACUAUCAGAUGGUAUAAUUUCAUAAUUAUUUGAGGGCUACCAAACAAUCUAAUAUAGGAAAAAUUUGAAUAUUUUGUAUGAAUCCAGGAUGGCCGGUGUGUAAUUUGAGGAUACAAGUCUGAGGAAAAAACGGGAUCUUCAUCAAAAGUAAAAAAAGAUGGUAGCCAAGUUCUGGAGCCUUCGGGGCUUGAACUGCACUUAAGAUCAGGCUUUUCUACACAACAAGAACCUGUAGCAAAUUUACCACCACAUACCCCUUUGAUUGAAGGUGGUAAUGACAGUUGCAGAAAUGCUGAAUCAGAUGAAACAAGAGAGAGGAAGGGCGGAGAAAGAACCCACAUAGAGUCUGAUGUCCAAGCUUCUGGAUUUGAGCAUGGUGAAACAAAUAGAGAGAAAAUCCAG